CCCAAAUCUACUGGGGGAGACCAAAUUGUGGGAUUUCAUCCAGUAUCCUUAAUAGCCAAGCUUGAUAAAUCGAGGUAUCAAACGUUUCGGGCAGUCCGCAGUGAAAAAGAAAAUAGGGGUUUGUGCAAGGAAAGUUUGGGCAUGGAUUCGGGUAUUGAAAAUAGGGUUUUUCGGUUUGGAGUAGCUUCUAACGAUGAGUUCCAAGGACUGUCAGUUUUAUUACCAGCCAAAGGGGAUUCACAACGUCGCAAACCGCCUAAUGAGUUAGUAAAUCGCCAGUAGAUACUGUGGAUUUAGUGGCAGCUAUGGAGGGCAUAAUUUUUGGGUUGAAGCAUGGUCAUGUAACCAUGGAGAUUUUAGCUGAAAACCCAAAAAAUGAUGAACCGGUGGGUCAAUUAGAUUCGACUAACGCCAAGGUUAGCUGCUAACAGUUUUGUUGCUGCUAGGUUUCUCUUUUGUUAUUUUAUAUAUAGAUACAAAAAUCAUUUUUUGGAAUUGUCAAGGUGAGGGUCAUCCACGCUUCUGUAACUUUAUUUUUGAGUAUCGAAGGGAGAUUUAACCAGAGAUUAUUUGUCUAUUUGAAACCUGAACGGAUGGUGCAUGUGCUGACAGAAUUAUUUCUCAAAUCAGAAUGGCCCGAUCAUGUAGGAUUGAAGCUAAUGUUUUUAACGGUUGUAUUUGGAUCCUUUGGAAUGAGGUAGUUUCAAUUGAUAUUCUAGCUAUUCACCCUCAAAUGGUUCAUAUAAUGGUUUGUAGCGAGAAUGACUCUUAUAGUUUCCUUUGCACUACGGUUUAUGCUAGUCCACAGUAAAGGCAAAAGAAAGAUUUCUGGUAUAUUUUAGGUGUUAUGGCGAACUCGAUUUCUGAAUCGUGGCUAAUUGCUGGUGAUUUUAACUCGGUGUUAAAUGGGUCGAAAAGGGUUGGAAGUGCUUCUUAGACACGGCUUGGUUGCAAGUGGUUUCAGUCAUUCUUGUUUGACUAUAAGAUUUGGGAUUUGAGCUAUAGUGGCCCGCAAUUCACUUAGAGUUGAGGGAAUCUAUCUCAGCGUCUUGAGUAGGAAAUUUGUAACUUUGAAUGAGACUUCUUUGUGCCCAAUUAUGUUGUCCGUAAUCUUCAUAGACUAAAAUCAGAUCAUUAUCCUAUUUUGGUGUCUAGCUAGUUGGAUGCUUCAUGCCAAGUUAAAUGACCUUGUGAAGAAAACUUGGAGAUCUGAUGAUGGUAUUGUGAGGAAUUUAAAAUGUUUUCAGAAUGUGGUACAAGAUUGGAACAAAUGGGUUUAUAGAAAUAUCUUUAUUCGCAAGCGGAACCUUAUCUCGGAACUGAACAUGGUGCAAAAAAUUUUUAAUUUAUGGUCAUCGUGCACCUCCGAGAAUGUGAAUUACAAUUAAGACUUGAGGUUGAAGAAAUUUUUUACCCUGAGGAAUUACUAUGGUUCUAGAAAUCUAGAUCGAAUUGGCUUUCACAUGGCGACAGAAAUACAAGCUAUUUCCAUGGUCGUACUCUAGCAAGACGGAGGAGAAAUAAGAUUAAAGGUUUGACGAUUAAAAAUGAUGAAUGGUGUUUUGAUGAUGUUUCCUUGAAACAUCGUGUUGUGCAAUACUUCAAAGACUUGUUUGCAACUGAAUAUUCGAUCAAUGGUUCUCUUCCUAGCCAAGGUAAGUUCCCAUCGAUACCCAUGGCUGAUAUGUAAUGUUUAAAGCUUACUAUAAAUGAUGAUGAAAUUCGUAAAGCUAUUUUUAGCAUGGUACCCUUAAAGGCUCCCGGAAUUAACGGUUUCCAUGCUAAAUUCUAUUAGGCAAACUAGGACAUUGUUGGUGCCUCCAUUUGUUAUAUGGUUAGGCACAUCAUGGGAGGUGCUUGUUGAUCAUACGAUUAAUAAAAUGUUGAUUAUUUUAUUGCCAAAAUUUCAAGGGUCGAAGAGGAUUUCUUAGUUUAGGCUGAUUAGCCUAUGUACGGUGGUUUAUAAGAUUUUAAAGAAAAUGAUAGUUAACAGACUGAGGCAUUUGAUGAUGAAGCUCACUGAUCAGAACAAAGCUAGCUUUGUUGCAGGAAGGUAUAUUACAGAUAAUGUUGUGGUUGCUUAGGAAGUCGUUCACUCUAUGAUGUGUUCCAAGGGUCAGAAUUAUCGGAUGGCUUUGAAGAUCGAUUUAGAGAAGACUUAUGAUAGGAUCAUGUGGGAUUUUCUGGAAGACACAUUUUUGGAGGUGGGGCCUACCUAGAUUUCUGGUAUCAGUGAUUAAGAACUAUGUUUCGUCUGCAUCUUUCCAGAUUCUAUGGAAUGGUAGUAUCACGGAAAGUUUUUGCCUGAUGUGCGGUUUGAGACAAGGUGACCCACUAUCUCCAUACUUGUUUGUUCUUUGCAUGGAAAGACUGAGGCAUUUAAUUGAUGAGGCUGUAGGAUGUGGAUGUUGGUCUCCGAUCUUUCUUUCAAGAGGGGGUCCUGUACUUUCUCACCUAUUUUUCGCUGACGAUCUCAUUCUCUUCUAUGAAGCCAACUUGACUCAAGAACAGAUAGACUGGCUUGGAAAUGGAUGUCUAUGGACAAGUUCUCAAGUGUUGUAACCUACAGGAAUUUGUGUCAUCCUGUUUGUGGCGUUGGUUCUUCUUGUUGGAAAUUAAUUUGGAAAGCUAAAGUGCCUCAAAGAGUUCGUGUAUUCCUUUGGACCUUUUGCCAGGACAGAUUAUUGACUAAUGGCAAGAGAACAAGGAGACAAAUGUCUAAUGAAGGACACUGUCCAAGAUGUGGAGCAGUGUUGGAAUCAGGUCUUCAUGCAAUUAGAGAUUGUCCUUUUUCAAGAAUGGUUUGGUUAUCUAUAAUUCCAGCAAGUGCUAAUUUAUCGUUCUUUUCUAUGUUACUUAAUGAUUGGUUGAAGUGGAACUUAAAAAGCACAAAAUGAUGGGGGUCUAAGAAUUUUGAGUGGCAUUCCUUAUACUCGAUUUUAAGUUGGCUUCUGUGGAAAGAUCGUAAUUUUUUUAUCUUUGCUAAUGGCUAUAACUGUGUGGAAAAAAUUGUUGAUACAAGUGUUGUAUGAGAUUGGCUGACUGCAAUCGAAUCCUUCGGUAUCAAAGACUUACUAGUCAUCGCCUGGGAUUGGCUGGGAUGGAGUUUUUCUGAUAUUAAUAAUUGGGCGUCGGCAGGGGGUGUAUUCAGAGAUGUGAAUGCAAAAUGGUUAUGCGGGUUUUCCAUGGUGGUGAUUUUAGAUUGAAGCAUGUGCCAUUUAUGAAGGCCUAAGUAUAGCAUGGGAAAAGGGAUUCAGACAAGUAGAGCUUGAAUGUGAUAAUGCACUUUUAGUGGAGACCUUGAAAGGAGCUGGAGCUGAUUCAAGUAAAGUUGGUUGAAUUGGCUGCCUCCUUAAGCGUAAUUGGAGAACGCAAAAUUCGGAUGUUGAUCUUAUGACUAAGUCGACAAAUGAUGAAGUAUCAAAGCUAUUGUUAUUACAAGGAGCUUUGCAAGUAUAACGGGUUGAUUGUUAUUGUAUUCGCAAAAAAAAAUGUUUGACCAUUAGAGCCAAAGCUAUUUGGAUGAGUGAGUUAAAACUAAAAUUAAAAAAUCAUGACCAAAACAACGAUUUAAUCUUUUA